rnacentral:misc_RNA from 1 species
AGCAGCCGCGGUAAUUCCAGCUCCAAUAGCGUAUAUUAAAGUUGUUGCAGUUAAAAAGCUCGUAGUUGAAUUUCGGGGUUAGCAGGUCGGUCGUGCCAUCGGUAUGAACUGGUCUCGCUGAUCCCUCCCUCUUGACGAACUGUGAUGCCAUUAAUUUGGUGUCGCAGGGAAUCAGGACUGUUACUUUGAAAAAAUUAGAGUGUUUAAAGCAGGCUCACGCUUGAAUACAUUAGCAUGGAAUAAUGAAAUAGGACGUUUGAUCCUAUUUUGUUGGCUUCUAGGAUUGACGUAAUGAUUAAUAGGGAUAGUUGGGGGCAUUAGUAUUCAAUUGUCAGAGGUGAAAUUCUUGGAUUUAUUGAAGACUAACUACUGCGAAAGCAUUUGCCAAGGAUGUUUUCAUUAAUCAAGAACGAAAGUUAGGGAUCGAAGACGAUCAGAUACCGUCGUAGUCUUAACCAUAAACUAUGCCGACUAGGGAUCGGAUGAUGUUUAAUUUUUUAAUUGUACUCU